rnacentral:lncRNA from 1 species
UUGUGUUGGGACUCAAAGUGUGGCUUCUGCUGAAAGCAUAUUACUUCCACACCACAACCGUUGGAAGUUGGGGGCUGUCUGUGCUGUGAGAUCAAGUAUUUAUUUUAGCACAUAGGGAAACAGAAGUGCCUGGAGCUAGUAGGAGGACAGGCCAGGUUCUGUCCCACACUCACCUCUGUCUAUUUUACUGUCCCUAUAAUUAUUAUCUAGCUCCUGUACUUCACAAGGCAAUAAAAGUCAUGGUCAUUUGAGUUUAAAAACUGCUGAUUUGCCAAUACUCCAAAGACUCUUCAAAAUUCCAACACUAUGUUGCCUUCCUCUCUCCUUCUCUCACCUCCUCAGUCAUUAUCUGAUCUGAUUGGAUGAGCUUCCUUCAGAGAUGUCCAUGAAAAAGUUCUCAAGUCACCCCGUGGUGUGUCUGGGUGUGGACUGUUCUCCCUGGGCCCCACCUUUCUCCACCACGCACAAGGGUCCCAGGCUCCUCUGUUGUUUGGAGAUCUUGGGAAAUACCCGAGGGGUGACAUCACUCAGCCACGGCCCCCAGAAAGAAGUCUGACUGCCAAGGGGAUGCCAGUUUUGGAAUCAAAUCAUGUCUGCAGGUUGGAAACCCAUCAGUAGGGCCCCAGUCUUUUCAGGGCACUGGGCCUGGUUCUGGGAGAGCCUACCUGGGCUGCCCACCCCCUCAGCAUCCUGUGUUGGGGGGUCCAGCUGCGCUGACUCACUGCCGCCAGUGCCAGCUCCCAACUCGGAGGCCGAGGCUCUGCUGCUUCCGUCAGAAUGUGGGUGGGGCACACACAGAGGAGGGGCCUUCCUGCCAGUGGGCAGUUGUUUCAUUUAGAACUUUUAAAAGACAUUGCCUCGGCGUAGGGCUCUGCCAAGAAUCAGCAAGGAUCAAGUGAAAUAAACACUAACAAACGCGGUUUUAGUUUUAAAAAAGGAUAAAAAGUGGCACAGACUCUGUCUGGAAACAGUGUUCAGUUAACUGUGUCUCACCCGGUCAGGUAAGCGUUUAUGCACGCCAGCUGGUCCUCCUUCAGCCCACCUCCUCCCCUCACCCACCACCAUUGUCAGCACCUCCAACCACCAUGACAU